UGGUUUUUAGAUCAGAUCUUGAUCUGACUGAAAACCAUUCAAAGCCUAACCCUCCAUGGUUAGGCAUCUCCUUACCAUACAGCUUCUGACCGGAAUGUUUUCCAGGCAGAGGGACAGACUGUUUGGCUACGUCUGGUUCCCUAAUAUUGAGUUAAAAGAGUUACAGUCCUACAUAUUCAUAGAUUGAAAUUUAUAUUCCUAGUACCUGCAAAUUUAAGAGCCACAUGAUGACAUAAAAUCUGUUUGUGCUCUUAUUAGAGGAGAUUUAUUGCAGAAGUGUCCAAAUCAGCAACUGCAUUUUUCCUCCAAACUUGAAUUUUAGAGGAUACCAAGAAAACUAUAUCAAAUGCAAUAAAUUAAAAUCCUGUCUGAAGAGGAGUGAAGCAACUAAAUUAAGCAACUAGAAAUUAAGGCAGAUUCAGAAUAGCAAUAGUUUAAUGACAUCAGUCUUGAAUUACAGUUUUCUUUUAUGAACUAUUCCCUGUAGAUGUAGGGUAAAGCAUCUUCAGCAUUUUUUUGUCAUGAAAAAACCAAUUUCUUUAGUUCUCUUUCUGGCUAAGUGCUUUUUGCUUUUCAUCAGCCCUGAAGAAGUCAAUCAUCUAUAUAUAGCAUAUUGCAACUUAAUUCCAUUUCCUAAUUCCCAGUAGUUACAAUCAAUGCUGAAAACACCCUACACUUGAUUUCUAUGUUUUUGUGAAAAACAAGAUCUUAAUUAGAAUUCAUGCUCACCAUUUGGGAAAUACUUUUAUUCUUUCACUGUUUUCAAAGAAACCACCUCUCCAAUGCAAACAUUAUGCUUGGUUUCUGAUUUACUCUUGUUGGACUUUUUUAUAAGGUUUAUUGAGAAAGUGUACAUUAUCAGAAUUUUAAGGAAUAUUCUUUGAAAUAAGUCUUCUUUUUGGCUACUGUAAGGCUUAGAUGCUAUCCUGGCUGUAGAGCUGUCAGCUAGACACAGCCUCAAAAUGAGGCUGAAGAACGCAGUGAGGAAGAAGGGCCUCAGUUAAUGAGGAAAAAGCUUUAAAAAUGCCUUUGAUGUGCUUUAUAUCUGCAGUGGUUUCAAGAUAUAGAAGAAUAAGAGAUGGCUGACUGGAAGCUAGAGCACAACAGAUAGCUGGGUUGUGACAGAGCCUUCAGUGAGAGAAGAUACAUGCAAGAUGAAAAUCAGCUUCUGCGGCAGCAGUCCCAGAUGGGCUGUUGUGAUGUACAGAGCAAUCAAGACUGUAGGAACCAGUGACUGACACCCUGCCACUGACCUGAUCUUUGUGUCUGGUGGAGCUGAGAACAACUGGCAGCAGAAAAGAUUUCGUGUUACUCUGGAACAGCCUUUGGAUAUAUAUCACUGUUCCCUAAGAUACCCAGGAUCAUUCUCCUUCUUCUGUAACAUUUGACUGUGACGCUUGUGCUGGAAAUAUUAUUGAAGGAACACUAAAUGGGUUAUACUCUGGUCCUCCUUUGAAGCCAAUAGCUUCAUAUUCAUCGACUUCAAUCAGAACAAUAUUAUGG